rnacentral:rRNA from 1 species
AAUGAACGCUGGCGGCAUGCCUAACACAUGCAAGUCGAACGAGACCUUCGGGUCUAGUGGCGCACGGGUGCGUAACGCGUGGGAAUCUGCCCUUGGGUUCGGAAUAACUCGCCGAACGGCGUGCUAAUACCGGAUGAUGUCGUAAGACCAAAGAUUUAUCGCCCAAGGAUGAGCCCGCGUAGGAUUAGCUAGUUGGUGAGGUAAAAGCUCACCAAGGCGACGAUCCUUAGCUGGUCUGAGAGGAUGAUCAGCCACACUGGGACUGUGACACGGCCCAGACUCCUACGGGAGGCAGCAGUGGGGAAUAUUGGACAAUGGGCGAAAGCCUGAUCCAGCAAUGCCGCGUGAGUGAUGAAGGCCUUAGGGUUGUAAAGCUCUUUUACCCGGGAUGAUAAUGACAGUACCGGGAGAAUAAGCUCCGGCUAACUUCGUGCCAGCCGCCGCAGUAAGAC